UGUUACUGACCUAUUUUCUUUCAUGCCCUCUGUCUAUCCCUAUGACUAACUCAUACAGCGUUAUUCAUGUGUAUCCUUUUUUUUUAGCUGUUUUCCAGGAAGAAAAUACGGGGUCUUGACAUUUGACUUCUCCAUGCUGGCCAUUGAGGCUAGAGAGACAGCAUGGACUUCUGCAUACUUGUUUUAAGACAGGGCUACUAAGGCAUGGUAUCAGGUAACUGGCUAAUCAGAUUGUGCCCUUGAGCCAAAGGUUUGAUGGUUCUGGUCACAUUUCCUAACCAGAAUCACAGAACCCAAACUCGUGGGCCAUCUGAUGUAGGGCUCUCCUGUUUGGAAAGUAAAAGUUCUUGUUGACCUCUUUAAUUCUCUUGGCACUUUUGAAUACAAUCAUUAGAGGAUUUGUCACUCUGGUUUAGAAAUGCUGUCUCCAGUCCCCCUGGGAAAGUCGGCCAAAGACUUUCCCUGGCUUUGGCCGAGUGGGAUGGAUUUUGAACUAGGAAGGUCCUGGGCUUUCUCAUAGGCUACUAAACCAGCUAUUCAGUGUGGACUUCACUUGCCUGUAUUUGCAUUACCUAAAUUGAGACUCCAGAAUUAGUAUUCUGUUGGAGGGACCAGGAGAAUAAGCAGGUACAUUCACGUUUUAAUAACUCCCUAGAUGAUUCUUACAAAUACCGAAGAUUGAAAACCAUUUCCUAGAGGAUUUUAUUGUUGCACAUGCAGGAUGUCCUGCCAGCUCUUUAGCAAGAGGAGACAAUGCCUUUUCCUGGAAAGGGAUAUUUUUAUUGUUAAAAUAAGCACUUUGCUUAGUAAUUCUUGUAAUUGGAAUGAGUUACAGGGAACCAUCAUACCUAGAUAUCCGCAUGAAUAAUAUAUGCAUUGUGAGGAUAAAGGGGUACGGUCUUUUGGCUGUAGCGUAAUGGUUAGUAGCAACGACUCUGGAAACAUGCCUUUAGAUACGAAGUCUUUCUCCAACUUUUAUUAGCCUAGUGACUUCAUGAAUAUAACUUUGUGACUCUGUGCCAUCAUAUGUAAAAAAUACCCUUAACAAGUUUGUUAUGAGACUUAUAUAGGUUGAUAUCUAGCAGUUAAAAUAGUGACUGGCACAUAAAAACACUCAAAUGUUAGAUGUUGAUAUUACUUUGUUAUUGUCAUUUUAUUAACAAUCAUGAUCAUAAUAGCUAAUACAACUUAGAAAUAUAUAUUAUAUAUAUAUAUAAAAUCACUUUUGAUAUUACUAUCUUUUUAUAAUGUGCUCCCUCCCUUUUCUAUUUUUUCCCUUUUCCUCUUUGAGGGCUGGAGCUAUUUCUUACUGUAUUUGUUGUUCUGUUUUGUUGUUUACAUCUCCCUUACAACAUUUGUAACUAUUUGCCCAGAGUAAAUACUAAAUUUAUGCUGGUUUUUCUUUUACUUGGUGCAGAAAAGUAUAAUAAGACUUAUGACCUUGCACAAGAAUGAGAAUAAUAUAUAGUCAUUAAAUAUAGAAUCUAUAUGUAAUGGCUUGUAAAAUAUAUGCAGCAAAAACAAAGUAAAAUCAUAAAUUUGAAAAACAUUAAGACUUCAAGACAAAACUUUUGUCUACUGAGUUCUCUUAUGCCUCCCAAAUAUCUAAUUGGGCAACUGGUACAUAAAAGGAUCUCAAUUUUGUUGAAUACAUUUUUGUUUUUGUAAAAUGAAGCUGUAAAAAUGUGGAAAGAUGUGGCUUAAAUGUUACCACAUUAUGGCUGAGGGUUUUGAUUAUCCUUAAAAUUUCCUGUAUCUUCUGAUGUUUAUUUUAUGAACAUAAACUACUUUUUUUAAAUUGCAGGCUGAAAAAAGGAAUGGUGAACUUAGCCUCAUUAUACUUCAGGCAACUAGAUUUGACAAAUGUCUAAUUGCUAGGGUUGGUGGCUAGUUUUGAUGACAAAGGUGGCAAGAAGAUCACUCUUUUCUCUUCUGAAUGAGUAAUAGCAGAUAUUUUCACUCCUUCAUGAGUUUUCUUUUUCUUUACAGAAGAGACAUAUUUGAAGGUAUUUGCACCAACAAGACCAUAUACAGUUUUUAGACAUUCUGGUGAGCUGUGCUUGCAACAAAGAGAAUAUGUAUGGGUAGAUACAUACAUAGAUGGAUGGAUAGAUAUAAAUAUAUUUCAAUUUAAAUCUGACAUUAGCUUAAUCUUGAUAUUAAUCUGUCUAUGCAUAGAUAUUAAUGUAUGUACACACACAUGCACUUAGCCAUAGGUAUACAUAGCAAGUCAAGCAAUGUCAUUUAUUUCCCUGACAGCAGUAAUACUAAUAAUCUUCAUAAUCUGAGAAGCCUUCGCCUCAAAACGAAAAAUCCCAAUAAUUGAACAACCCUCCACAAGCCUAGAGUGGUUAUACGGAUGCCCCCCACCCUACCAUACGUUUGAAGAACCCGUCUAUAUGAAACCCGAACAAAAAAGGAAGGAAUCGAACCUCCUAAAGCUGAUUUCAAGCCAGCCCCAUAACCUCCAUGACUUCUUCAAAAGGUACUAGAAAAAGGUACUCUUCCUAUAACUCCUCACUCAUGGAGGGGAGGUAUUAAAUGGUCGUCUGCUUAAAUGGAAAAAUCUUAAGGCAAAGGAAAUUGGAGGAGAAGGUGAGACAGAUACUGAGAUACCGAGAAGAUGGAGAAAGAGAAAGACAAAGUCAGAAACAUGGAGAUUCAGAGAUACAAAGAGAAUCACAGAAAAGAAAGAAAUCAGCAAAUGUCUUGUUGUGAAACAACCUGAACAUACAGAUGUCCUAGAAUGGAGGUGAAGAGAGCAUUUAGAAGGACAAUCUAGAUUUCUCUGUGUAGCAGAGCAGCAGCAACUGCAGCAAGGCCAAACUGGCAGAAACCAAAAUCAAAAAGGACUGCCCUUCCUCCUUAGUCCUCUGUGUUCCUGGCUUUUCUUUGGCGGGAAUGCUUCACAUAUUUUCUCAGGAGCCACGUACCUCUGACCACAGGAGGUUUCCUGAAACCAGAGGUAGAAGGUUCCUGCUUUCAUACAGCAGACUCAUUUCCUCACUCAGGGAAUCAGGUGUUGCUUCACUCACGUGGAGGUACAUGGCCUUUCCCUUCCUGUUCUAGCAGUUCCCACUGUCAACCUCAGACCCAGCCAACACAAGUGCCAGUGCUACAUAGAGUAAGUCGCUUUGAGCUGCCUGAGGGAACUCAAAGGGCCUCUCACAGAAGAAAGCUUAGGGAUAGGACUGUGGCCUCAGCUGUGACCCUUUCUCCUGGCAAACUAUGGCACUGGAUGAAACAUGAAGAUGCCUCUUGCGGACGGUAGACUAGCACAAAAGCCAAAGAUGGAAGGAAAGUGGCGCUUCUUUCUGUCUCCCAUUCAGGGGGGUCUAUCUCCCUGAAUUACUGAUAUCCUAGCCUCAUGUAUGUGUUUUGUUAAUUGAGUACCAGUGCUCAGAGCAUUGGUUCGGGAAUUAGUGAUUCUGCCACUUUUCAGUUGUAUCACUUCGGGCAUUCACUUCAUUUCUCUGAGCCUUAAAUUUCUCAUCUAUAAGUUGUAGAUAGUCAUGCCUGUCUUGACUUGCUUGGCCAAAUAAAAACUCAAGUUUUAAAUUCUGAAACCUUAGGGUUCAAGAGCUGGGGAAGGGAGUUUACAUGUUUUCUAAUGCCAUUAUCUGCUGCAGGCAUUCAUUCCCCUCACCAGCAUCCUAGACGAUAUCAUCCUCUUGAUUCAGUUGGAAUGCUGACAUGCCUGGGGAGCUGCCCUCGGGAGGUCUAAUUGUUAGAAACUUCUUCCUGUGCCCCCUAGUGACUUUUAUCUGUUUUGCCUCUGGACUCAAUAAAUUUCAUUCCUAAACUGUUCUGCAUAUUGACAAAUACUGUAAAAAAUCAUCACUUUCUUAAAGUUGUUGUCAAGUUAUUGUCUCAGCUCCUUUACCUGCUCUGCCUUUUGGGAUUUUUGUUUGGAUUCAUGAAUGAAACAGGGCAUGACAUUAGGUGUUUCUGAAUGUUCUCAAGGGUCCUUGUGGGAUUGGUUCUCUAAAAGCUUCCCUGAUUAUCUCUGGAGGCAUUGAAUAUUACCAAUAGUUUGAGUCCUAGAACCAUGAUUAGAAAAGCAUGUUAUUUUUUAUUAUGAACAAAAUGGAGAUGCAUUAAAUUUUAGUAAGAGACCUUGAAAACAUCUAAAUAAUAAACGCUGUUCGUAACCCAGCUAUUGC